rnacentral:rRNA from 2 species
UACGGGGGGUGCAAACGUUGCUCGGAAUUAUUGGGCGUAAAGCGCACGUAGGCGGCUCGUUAAGUCGGAUGUGAAAUCCCUCGGCUCAACCGAGGAAGUGCAUCCGAAACUGGCGAGCUUGAGUAUGGAAGAGGGUCUCGGAAUUCCCGGUGUAGAGGUGAAAUUCGUAGAUAUCGGGAGGAACACCAGUGGCGAAGGCGGAGACCUGGGCCAAUACUGACGCUGAGGUGCGAAAGCGUGGGGAGCAAACAGG